AUGGUCGAUAUCAUCACGACCGGCCACCCGAUCUCGCGCAGAUUAAAGUCGGAUCGACAAAAGCGCUCUCGCUUUCGCUCUACGUAUAUAUGUACAGGUGAUAUUCCAUGCGGCACGUACCGACGUACGAGUACGAGCACAAAGCGAUGGAUCAACCUACCUGCCAAGAGAUCGUCUGCUCGUUUCUUAAUCGAGAGAGUAGGGAACUUGGUGAACCACUCCACAUCAGAGCAGGCCGAUCUGGAAAAUAUAUGCGUACGUGGUGCAAGUCGAUCGCUGGCUUGGCGGGAAAAAGAUGUAACACGUGAGUGA
rnacentral:rRNA from 1 species